GUACCUCAGCCAAUUCAUUGAGAAAGUUGGUGGGAAGCUCCCAAAAUGGCGUGUGUCGGUUUGUGAUGCUUCCGCAAAGUAUCAACUCAGCCGCAUGUCCUCCUUGCUCAGGCAUAUGUUGAUUUCUCUAAACAUUGGUUGGACAUUGCCCAUGUAACACUCCAGCUCCUAUCACCUUAACCCCAGGUGAUACCGAUGCAUCACGUAGGUGAUUUCUCUGGUCAGACAUGAAUAUGCUAUUGAGGAUGUACUCAGUGGUAUUCCAAGCAAAGCAUGGCCAAUAUUUUUAUAGCAAGACGGAAACGACAUUGUAUCAGAAGUCCCCUGAUGCAGCCCGCAGAGUCGAAGGUAAGCCAUGCUACAAGAAAAGUUACUCCAGUAUUUCCAUUUAUUCAGAUUCAAGUCGAUUUGGCUUGCCUGGAUGGCUACUGCAGCCCACUGACUUAUCCAAUUUCAUGUUCAUCGUGAUAUCCUUGCAAGAUUAAUAGUAAUUCUUAUCUUUGGGUUGCAUGAUGAGCUUGUAGGUCAGAUUCUUUAUUUGUAGCGAUGUACAUGGUUCUGAAUAAUGCAAUUUCUGUGUACUAGAAGAUAUGCAUUUCUUGACAGGGUCCUGAUGCAUUCCCUGACAUGGACCAGCUGCCUAUUUUUAAUAGAGCAUUGUUGAUGGUUUUUAGUCCUAUGAUGCUUGAACUCCAGCAUUGUGGAUACUUGUUAGUCAAAUAUAUUUGGAUAGGGCUUCUCACAUAAUAUGGCAUUGAGGCAUGUAAAUAAUAAAUGAGUUUUGCCCAACCAGUUAGUUCUAUUAAUGCUCUGCAAUUACUCAAUGGUUGUAGUGCUUUCAGAUGAUCGGUUACUUUUCCUUGCAGAACGGUGGUGUGAUAUGUUCUCAGUUUGUGUACUCCACCUAGGAUUAAACUGCAGAGGCUGCUGCAUCUUGAAUAAUGUAUGCCACGGUGCAGUACAACCCACUCUAGCAGCGGCACUCCUUCGUUUGUUAGUCACAGCAUGAGUACUUUUGUCUAUAUUGACUUGAUAUGGCGGAGACUCCUGUGACUCUUGGAAGUACUUGAUGUUGUGACAUCAUCAAAUUACCUCGGACAUUAAUUCUCACAUUGGCUUCUUAGGGUGGCUUCAAUAAUCUAUGGGGUGCAAAGAAGUGCUAGGUCUAGGUCCAUAAAAGAAGAGAUCCUUGGUAGGAAGUCGAGUUUUCGUUGUGCAGAUCUCCAUGAGCCCAAUGGCAUAGUAUGCUAUCCAAUGAAGUUGAUUCAGCCUGAACUACUCAGGCUUAUUCUCUUCACUUUAUCAGGUUAUUUUCAAAGGUUGCAGCCAAGCACAUUAUCACCUUAUGUUCUAGAGACUUUUUGGGAGGUGACGGAGUAGAAUGUUCUUGCUAAUUAGCUUCUUGGGAAGGUUUGGUUUUGUGCUCAUGAACCAUUAGAUGAUGUCCUGAACAUCUGCUGCAAAGUAGUUCCAGUAACCUGAUGCCGAGUAGUACCAACGGGUAUUCCAGAUGCUUCUUGGGCAGACAUAUUUCAUAAGCUUAGCGUCAGAUGACUUCCGAAAUACUGGCUCCUGGCACAAGGGCACCACCCCAUUGUAUAUGCAUUAAGAUCUCUGGUGAAGUUUGUCACGCCUUGUUAAUUAUGAGCUUAGCAGAGCUUCGUUCCUGGUAUAUAUGUUAUUGGUUAUGAUCCAUGUAUAGUGAGUUUCAGUAUGUCAAUGUUGUAUAAACUAUUCCUUGUGAAAUGUUGCAUAUUCGCACAUCGUGCAAUUCAGUAAAUAAUAUUAAGGCGACUCCGUCCCAAAUAUACAA